rnacentral:rRNA from 21 species
GGGCAAGCUACUACGGGCGCACGGUGGAUGCCUUGGCGCCUGGAGCCGAUGAAGGGCGUGGCAUAGCUGCGAUAAGCCGCGGUGAGGGGCUGAGCACCCGCUAGCAGCCGCGGAUGCCCGAAUGGGGAAACCCACCGCUAUGGCGGUACCCGGGACAACCGGGAGGCAAGUCGGGGAACUGAAACAUCUCAGUACCCGGAGGAGAAGAGACCAUUCCCCAAGUAGUGGCGAACGAAAGGGGAACAGCCCAAACCCAUCCAAGCUCAGUGGGCCGCCGCCCUAAGCUUGGUGGGGGUUGUGGCGUCGCACGGACCGGACGGCGGUGCCGGUCGGGAAGUUACCAAGCUUGUGUCUAGCGGAAGCGGUCUGGAAAGGCCCACCACAGGGGGUGAUAGUCCCGUACGCGAAAGGCGCAGGCCUUCCUGGUGCGACGGCCGGAGUACCACGGUGGAAGUGGAACCGCCGUGGGAAGCAGGGUGGACCACCAUCCAAGGCUAAAUACUCCAGGCGACCGAUAGCGCACUAGUACCGUGAGGGAAAGGUGAAAAGCACCCCGGCGAGGGGAGUGAAAUAGAGCCUGAAACCGUGCGCUCACAAGCUGUCGGAGGGCGCAAGCCUGACGGCGUACUUUUUGUAGAACGGACCGGCGAGUUGAUCUGCGUGGCGAGGCUAAGGGGGUGAUACCCGGAGCCGUAGCGAAAGCGAGUCCGAACAGGGCGUGUUAGUCGCGCGGAUCAGACCCGAAACCGGAGUGAGCUACCCAUGGCCAGGGUGAAGCGCGGGUAAAACCGCGUGGAGGCCCGCACCCACCAGUGUUGCAAAACUGGGGGAUGAGCUGUGGGUAGGGGUGAAAUGCCAAGCGAACCCGGAGAUAGCUGGUUCUCCCCGAAAUGCAUCUAGGUGCAGCCUCGGGUGUACCUUGUCGGAGGUAGGGCUCUGGAUCGGCUAGGGGGCGACAUCCGCUUACCAAACCGAACUAAACUGCGAAUGCCGACAAGCCACUGCCCGGGAGUGAGGCCGCGAGUGCUAAGAUCCGUGGCCGAGAGGGAAACAACCCAGAUCGCCAGCUAAGGUCCCCAAGUGCUGACUAAGUGGGAAAGGAUGUGGGAUCGCGUAAACAACCAGGAGGUUGGCUUAGAAGCAGCCAUCCUUUAAAGAGUGCGUAAUAGCUCACUGGUCGAAGGUGGUCCCGCGCCGACGAUGUAACGGGGCUAAGUCAGCCACCGAAGCUGCGACAGCCUAUUUGGCUGGGUAGGGGAGCGUUGCGUAGGGCUGUGAAGGCGGAGCCGAGAGGUCCGCUGGAGCCAUCGCAAGUGAGAAUGCCGGUAUGAGUAGCGCAUUGCCUGCGAGAACCAGGCACACCGAAAGCCCAAGGUUUCCUAAGCAAGGUCAAUCCGCUUAGGGUUAGUCGGGCCUAAGGUUGCAAGCCGGAGUGCUUGUGGCCGAUGGACAACGGGUUGAUAUUCCCGUACCAGCGUCUGGUCGCUAUGAGCGAUGGGGGGACGCGGCAGGGUAGGCCGGAGCGGGGCAGUACCGUCCAAGCCUUCCAGGGAGUGCCGGUAGGCAAAUCCGCCGGCACAUAUCCGUGGGGGUGAUGGGGAGAGCCCGGGGCAACCCGGAGCUCAACUCGGCCGAACGCCCAUACCGCCAAGAAAAGCCUCUAAGCCAGACCAGAUGCUGCCCGUACCGCAAACCGACACUGGUGGGCAGGUAGAGGAUACCAAGGUGAACGGGAUACCCCUCGUUAAGGAACUCGGCAAAAUGGCCCCGUAACUUCGGGAGAAGGGGCGCCUCCUUGGGUGAUGAGCUCGAGGAGGCCGCAGAGAAACGGCCCAGGCGACUGUUUAACAAAAACACAGGUCCCUGCUAACUCGUGAGAGGAUGUAUAGGGGCUGAUGCCUGCCCAGUGCCGGAAGGUCAAGGGGAGGGGUGCACGUAGCCCCAAACCGAAGCCCCGGUAAACGGCGGCCGUAACUAUAACGGUCCUAAGGUAGCGAAAUUCCUUGUCGGGUAAGUUCCGACCCGCACGAAAGGCAUAACGAUCUGGGCACUGUCUCAACGAGGGACCCGGCGAAAUUGAAGUACCCGUGAAGAUACGGGUUACCCGCGACAGGACAAAAAGACCCCGUGGAGCUUUACUACAGCUUGACACUGGCUCGGGGCUACGUAUGCGUAGGAUAGGUGGGAGCCUGUGAAGCCCCUCUUGCGGGAGGGGUGGAGGCGCCGGUGAAAUACCACUCUUACGUGGCCUUGAGCCUAACCGGGCAACCGGGACAGUGUCUGGCGGGUAGUUUGACUGGGGCGGUCGCCUCCUAAAAGGUAACGGAGGCGCCCAAAGGUUCCCUCAGGCCGAAUGGAAACCGGCCGGUGAGCGCAAAGGCAUAAGGGAGCUUGACUGCAAGGCCGACAAGCCGAGCAGGGACGAAAGUCGGGCUUAGUGAUCCCACGGUACCGCGUGGAAGGGCCGUGGCCUAACGGAUAGAAGCUACCCCGGGGAUAACAGGCUGAUCCUGCCCAAGAGUUCACAUCGACGGCAGGGUUUGGCACCUCGAUGUCGGCUCGUCUCAUCCUGGGGCCGGAGUAGGUCCCAAGGGUUGGGCUGUUCGCCCAUUAAAGAGGCACGCGAGCUGGGUUCAGAACGUCGUGAGACAGUUCGGUCUCUAUCCGUCGCGGGCGCAGGAGGUUGUGAGGGGAUCCGUCCCUAGUACGAGAGGACCGGGAUGGACGGACCUACGGUGUACCGGUUGUCAAGAGUUGGCACCGCCGGGUAGCCGAGUCCGGUCGGGAUAACCGCUGAAAGCAUCUAAGCGGGAAGCCCACCCCAGGAUUAGACCUCCCCACUAGACCCCAGGAAGAUGACCUGGUAGAUAGGCCGCAGGUGCAAGCACCGUAAGGUGUGCAGCCAAGCGGUACUAACGGUCGACCGUCUUGCCCGC